AAGAGGUAAUCACGGAGAGGUUAACACUCCCUUUGAUAAGGACAAGGGAGAUCCUAGUGGCCUUUACAACACGUCUAUGGCCAAGGCAUUGCCCCCUACACUGUGGCAUGUUACCAUGUUCAU
rnacentral:ncRNA from 1 species